GAUGAACGCUGGCGGCGUGCUUAACACAUGCAAGUCGAACGGGAUCCAGGCAGCUUGCUGCCUGGUGAGAGUGGCGAACGGGUGAGUAAUGCGUGACCGACCUGCCCCAUACACCGGAAUAGCUCCUGGAAACGGGUGGUAAUGCCGGAUGCUCCGACUCCUCGCAUGGGGUGUCGGGAAAGAUUUCAUCGGUAUGGGAUGGGGUCGCGUCCUAUCAGGUAGUCGGCGGGGUAACGGCCCACCGAGCCUACGACGGGUAGCCGGCCUGAGAGGGCGACCGGCCACAUUGGGACUGAGAUACGGCCCAGACUCCUACGGGAGGCAGCAGUGGGGAAUAUUGCACAAUGGGCGCAAGCCUGAUGCAGCGACGCCGCGUGCGGGAUGACGGCCUUCGGGUUGUAAACCGCUUUUGAUCGGGAGCAAGCCUUCGGG
rnacentral:rRNA from 1 species